AACGAACGCUGGCGGCAUGCCUAACACAUGCAAGUCGAACGAGACCUUCGGGUCUAGUGGCGCACGGGUGCGUAACGCGUGGGAAUCUACCCUUGGGUUCGGAAUAACUCAGAGAAAUUUGAGCUAAUACCGGAUGAUGUCGCAAGACCAAAGAUUUAUCGCCCAAGGAUGAGCCCGCGUAGGAUUAGCUUGUUGGUGAGGUAAAAGCUCACCAAGGCGACGAUCCUUAGCUGGUCUGAGAGGAUGAUCAGCCACACUGGGACUGAGACACGGCCCAGACUCCUACGGGAGGCAGCAGUGGGGAAUAUUGGACAAUGGGCGAAAGCCUGAUCCAGCAAUGCCGCGUGAGUGAUGAAGGCCUUAGGGUUGUAAAGCUCUUUACCCGGGAUGAUAAUGACAGUACCGGGAGAAUAAGCCCCGGCUAACUCCGUGCUAGCAGCCGCGGU
rnacentral:rRNA from 1 species